AGCCCUACCGGAGGGCGCAAGGAUACCAAUGGGAGAGGCGCAUCACCGCGGCAGGUCUGUAAUCGGGUCCCUCGUGGUGCGGCGAGGCCCUUCCUCCCGUCUGGCAGAGCGACGCCGGGCGGGCCCGCUUGAUUCCGAAGGAAAGACCGGCGAGGCUCCAUCCGGACGAAUCGUGACUUCCCUUUGCAAAGGCUCGCUUGGACUUUCCCUUUUCGCGGGGAAAAGGGCUUUCGGCGCAGGCGGAGGCUUCCCGUCGACUGGGAAGCGGGACUCGUUUCAAGAGAGAAAACGGGCGGAGUAGCUGCUAGCGGGCUUCAGGCGUUUGUUUUUAUUCUAAAUGCCGAAAGAUAGAAGGCUGCUUCCUUUUUAUUUUUCCCUUUUUAGGAGAACCGACUCUUAUUUAUUUCAAUCUUGUUCGUAAACAUUCGCCUAGAUUUACACUAUUAUUCAUACAUCGGUGCUUAAAUGUU